rnacentral:rRNA from 1 species
GGAAUCUAGACAAUGGGGGCAACCCUGAUCUAGCCAUGCCGCGUGAGUGAUGAAGGCCUUAGGGUUGUAAAACUCUUUCAGCUGGGAAGAUAAUGACGGUACCAGCAGAAGAAGCCCCGGCUAACUACGUGCCAGCAGCCGCGGUAAGACGUAGGGGGCCAGCGUUGCUCGGAAUAACUGGGCGUAAAGGGUCCGUAGGCGGUGCAGCAAGUCGGGAGUGAAAUCUCUGGGCUUAACUCAGAGACUGCUUCCGAAACUGCUGUGCUCGAGUGCGAGAGAGGCGAGUGGAAUUGCAGGUGUAGCGGUGAAAUGCGUAGAUAUCUGCAGGAACACCAGAGGCGAAAGCGGCUCGCUGGAUCGCAACUGACGCUGAGGGACGAAAGCUAGGGGAGCAAAC